GGGGCAGCGAAGCAGGACUCGGCAUCGCGGGAGCCCUGGGCUGAAGAUGCGGGAGGCCUGCGGGGGAGAAGCGAGGGAGGCGCUUGGGGCUCGGGACUUACACCCAAGACGCACCCUGCCCCUGACUGACUUCGGAAAGGGAAGCCUCUCCAGCUAGUGAAACAUCUGAGGAGAUUUGUUAUGAGGUUGGACAAUAUGAAGAAAGGAAAGGCAUUCAAAUCCCCUAUUGUAUGGACACUGUGGGCGUACGGUCUCAUCCUCACUAGGGGAUUCAACUCAGGUCCUUGCACUUGCGAGGCAGGCGGUGGAACCACUGAGCUAAAUCCCCCGGAUGACCGGGUAACUUCUGAGGAGAAAGGACGAGGAGAUGCAUCCUCCCGAGGCCCACACUGUGUUCAACCUGAAUGUGCUAAUUAUGGUAUUUCUAAUGUGGGAAGCCGUGAAGAAAGAACAUUAGUCACAGUUCAAGGUGCACAGCGAUGUUUAGGAGGCUGCUGUCAUGUAGAUAUUGAGUUUCCUAUACAUCAGGUAUCACACUUGGGUAAGAAAGAUAGCCCCACACUGUGUCCCGAGACAGUGAAGUCUGCAGCCAGGAUGGAGGAGAGCACUAAGAAUCAUGAUGCCUGUGUUAGUCCUGUCGAUGGUCGUGGUCUUGUAGGACGAACGCUGGAUUUAGAAGCAGUUGUGUAAGGCUUCAGGAGCUCACAAUUGUUUGGCCCAAUCAAAUCUGGGAACACUAGAGAAGUUAUCACCCAUCAAGGGAAAAAGACUGGCCUGAAGAGACCCUAAGCAUCUUGCUACCUGUCUUCUCUCCUUGAAGGAUCUUCUUAGACCCAAAGGGACAUGACUUUUCAUGAG
rnacentral:lncRNA from 1 species